AUUAAAUCAGUUAGAUCAUAAAAAAAAAAAGCAACGUAGCUGAGGUUUCUAGGGCCAGUUCUGUGCCAAACAUCCAAAUGGCACAGCAGUGCCUGCAUCCAUAUAAUUAAAAACUGCAGAACUGGAUGGCCACCUUCAUUGUUUAAACUGGAUGUGGGCCCUAACUUAUACCCGCUCCUGAACUUGGAUGGAUAGUGCUGUGUGGCCUUCAUUAGGGGUCAGUUUAGCAUUUUUAAAACUUCAAAUGCUUUUGUUCCCUUGGUUGGAAAUGUUGCUUACUACUGUUAAAUUCUCUAAAGGAUAAAUAUGUCACUGUACAAGAAUACUGCUAUUUAUCGAGGAGGGAUUCAGCAAUCUGGUGUGUGUAGUUUGAAAUAAGGUUUAGAUUUCCCAACUGUAUUUCUUUCAUUUUGAGGUGAUGCACAAAAUACAAUUAAACUAGGAAAGACAAAUAUUUUUAGUCAUUUUCUAAUAUUUAUUUUGACAGUAAUGGAUUUUACUUUGCUGGCCAUUUUGUGCACAGUUUCCAUUAAGAUCUGAGGAUCAAGUGUUUGUGAUUGUCUAACAGGCAUGUUCACUGUUGUGAAUUAGCCCAGCAGACAGCUCAGCACUGCACAGCUCCCCAAUAAAGGACAGAACUGGAAACAAAAGAGAAUACUUGAGUUAUUUUUCGUAUAAUCCAUUCCAUUUCUCACAAAACACUUCUGUUCUGAUCAGAAAAGCUACUAAGGAGUUUCCUUUUAUGAUUUCAUCAUAUUUCGGGGAGAAAGUAGAGUAUGUUUCUUUUUCCUCCCUGCAGAAAGUCAUGUGGGUGGAGUUCAGAGCUGCUAUUUCCAUCUUAGACUGUGUGUUACAACUUCUUUCUUAAAGGAGCAUCAUUGAUUUUUCCUUCUAUUUAACAAAGGACUUACCAGUACAGUUUUCCCUACUGACACUUAUUAUGAACAAUGAAAUGUGUCCCUCUUCUAAAGCCAGAUGUGAUUCCCUCAUUGACUCAAAGGAGUUUUGAUGAUACUUGAGGGCAUGAUAUGGAUGCACAGUGGAAAAAGAACUCUGCAGUCUGCUUGUCACUACUCCAGAAGCCAAAGGAGAGAAUUAUUAAUUGGUUUUAUCCUACAGAACUCUGCUAAGCAGAUCCCUGAAGAGGCCAGACAGCUCUCCUGAAAUCCAUGGUUGUGAGCAAGCAUCCUCCUUUUGCCCUAAGUAUGUUGAACUCCACAAUUUCAUGGUCACUGCACCAAGACUGCCUUUGACCUUUACAUUCCCACCAGCAUCACCUUGUUGAUAAGAAAGAGGUCCAGCACAGCCUCUUUCCUCAGCUUCUCUAUCACCUGGAGAAGGAAGUUAUCAUCGUAUUGUAUGGUACCUGCUUACCAGCAGGUUGGACUUGAUGAUCUCUUGAGGUUCCUUUCGAUCUCUGUGAUUCUGUGGUUCUGUGAUUCUGCAACACACUCUAGGAACCUCCUGGAUUGCUCAUGCCUUGCUUUGUUGCCUCUCCAACAGAUAUUGGGGUGGUUGAAUUCCCACAUGAAGACCAGGGACUGUGAAUACAAAUCUGUUCCUCAGUCCAGCACAGCAUGACUACCUCUGCCCCAUCACUGAUUGCUGGUGGACCAACCCUUUCUCACCCUGCAGCUACCAGACAGGCUGAAAUACUCCUGAGGUGGACCUUGAAUUCCCAUGUAAAUUAGGUUGGCUCCUGACAGCAGGAGGUAGCUAAAAAGUUAUGAAGACACCUAAUCCCCUACUUCCUGUCUCAAAACACCUUGGAGCUUCCCCACUCCCACAGCACCUCUCUGGGCCUCCUGAGGCUGACAGUAGCUUCUAUUGGAACCUUUCUGACCCUUCUCAGGAACAGUAUCCAGGGACCAGUUGAAUCAGCACUGCAGAA
ensembl:lncRNA